UAUAGUUUGAAAAUGAGCACAACCUUUACUCACUGUGAAUACCUUUUAAGGUCUUGAUCUUUCACCAUUCAAGUUUUUCCAUUGUUCUCAAUGGGAGCAGGCUUCAGCCCUCAUUCUACAAUCAAUGUCAUUAACAUCAAAAUGAAAUUAUUGCCAUCACAUAUACUUAGCUUCUGUGCACUGCAAACAGUCCUAUUUCAGGAUCAGGGUGUACAAUACAAUGUAAUUAAAGCAAGGGUGACAGUCUGGCUUAUAGUUAGCUACAUAUCUGGGAUAUGAUUCUGGUUUCAUGCAGGGUAUCAGUCAAGAGUGCAUCCACCAGUCAAUAGUGACCAGUGUGAAACUGAUCUAAGAACAGACUGUGUUCAAAGUCAGAAAGUCAUCCAAUUAAAUAAUGUUUCAAAUAACAAGCUGGGACUAGUCUUCAUACAGUCUGUAUGGACUGCAUAAUGUAAGAGUCAUGAGUACAAUGAAAGCAGAGGUAUUAUAAGCAAUAGAACAAUUCACAAAAUUGAUUAUGACUAAAAUUUAUACAUUGUACUCCAUAUGCAAACAGAAUGGACUUGUGUGUUUAUAUUUCACCUUGCAUUUGCUCCAUCAUUCUAACUGGUAAAAAUAAGUGAUUGCUGUAAAUGCUUUUCUUGGUGUUCAGGGACAAGGUAAACAGUAAACAGCUGGUAUACUUACACUUUUGCCUUAUUAUAGUAAAUGUAAGUAAGAUGGUUCACAUAAAUUCAUUUCCUGAUCCAUAAACAAAGUAGCAGGAUGAACAUUGCACAUAUUUAUCAUGUAGCCCAUAAGCCAGGUGAGUACGGUGCUUUUGUGGCUUCCAUCAUUUUAUGGCUCCUAAGGCAAGCUUAUUAUAUCAAAAAAUAUAAGACGUGCUUAUUCUCUGCUCAUUUAAUUCUAUUAAGUUACAUCUGUAGAGAAUUUGAUUCAUAUUAUCUUCCUUGCCUUACUGCUUUUUAACUGCUGCUGCUUUUGGAAAUACACAGCAUUAUCGCUGAAGAAGAGCCGGAACAGAUAGUAUAAAUUGAUAUAGCUCCACUUAAGUCAGUGGAGAUGCUGAUGAUGACUUAUAUUAGCUGGCCAUAUUGCUUACUCCUGCAAACGUUUCACAGUUCUAAUCAUGUAGCUAACAAAUAUAGGUUUCAGUUCCAGUAAAAAAAAUAAAUGCUAUGAAGUCCUCACAUGUUCCUAUAAAACAAAAAAUAAGACAAGAAAACCCUCCCCCUCCCAGCAAAUCAACAUCAUUAGCAAAAAACCAGCACAGAUAGUGAUGUGUGUUUUGUCUCGGACUGAAAAGGUUCUCCUA